GACAGAGGUGCCAAGCGUUAGGCGGAAUCACUGGGCUUAAAGCGUGUGUAGGCGGAUGCCUAAGUACCUUGUGAAAUCCCACAGCUCAACUGUGGAACUGCUUGGUAUACUGGGUGUCUUGAGCCACUUAGGGGUUACCGGAACAAAUGGUGGAGCGGUGAAAUGCGUAGAUAUCAUUUGGAACGCCAAUGGUGAAAACAGGUAACUGGGAGUGUGCUGACGCUGAGACACGAAAGCCAGGGGAGCGAACGGG
rnacentral:rRNA from 1 species